CCUACGGGUGGCAGCAGUGAGGAAUAUUGGUCAAUGGCCGUAAGGCUGAACCAGCCAAGUAGCGUGAGGGAAGACUGCCCUAUGGGUCGUAAACCUCUUUUAUGCGGGGAUAAAGGUGUCCACGUGUGGAUGUUUGCAGGUACCGCAUGAAUAAGGACCGGCUAAUUCCGGGCCAGCAGCCGCGGUAAUACGGAAGGUCCGGGCGUUUACCGGAUUUAUUGGGUUUAAAGGGAGCGUAGACCGGUCUUUAAGCGUGCCGUGAAAUUUUGUGGCUCAACCAUGGGACUGCGGCGCGAACUGGGGGCCUUGAGUGCGCGGGAGGCAGGCGGAAUUCGUGGUGUAGCGGUGAAAUGCUUAGAUAUCACGAAGAACCCCGAUUGCGAAGGCAGCCUGCCGCAGCGUUACUGACGCUGAGGCACGAAAGUGCGGGUAUCGAACAGGAUUAGAUACCCUAGUAGUC
rnacentral:rRNA from 1 species